AAUAAGGUGCCUGAUUUAAAAGGACUAUCUUGAUAGGAUAGAAAAUGUAUAAAAAAUACUCUUAUUA
rnacentral:tRNA from 1 species